rnacentral:tRNA from 1 species
GGUCUCGUAGCUCAGCUGGUAGAGCGUACGCUGGAUAAAAGUGUAGGCGGCGUCUAUGUGUGGGUUCGAAUCCCACCGAGGCUA